rnacentral:rRNA from 2 species
GCUAACUGCCAUAAUAAGAACUAGUUAUAGUAUAGUUAGUGAAGCCUGCCCGCUGAUACUUUUCAAAUUUGAUUAGAAGGUAUUGAAGGGCCGCGGUAACUCUGACCGUGCUAAGGUAGCAUAAUCAAUCGUCACUUAAUUGGUGACUAGAAUGAAAGGCUAAACGAGCAUUCCUCUGUCUUAAAUUUAAACUUAGUGAAAUUAAACUAUCCGUUAAGAUUCGGAUAUUUCUUGAUUAGACGAGAAGACCCCGUUGAGCUUUACCUAAGCUUUUUAUUUAAAUGGUUCUCCUUGAUAAGAAAACGAUUUAACUUAGAAGAGCGACAGGUUUGGUUGGGGCGACCGCCCAAAUAAAAGAAACUUGGGUAAACAAGGGUUAAACUUAUAAUAGAUACAGCUUUAUUGAUAGACAGACAUGUUAAUUAAAAAGGAUUUCUCCUUUGCUAUAGCGACCCGUUACUAAUUGGUAGCGAAUCUGAAUAAAAGUUACCACGGGGAUAACAGGGUUAUCCAAUUCUAGAGUUCUUAUCGAAGAUUGGGUUUGCCACCUCGAUGUUGAAUAGCAGUAUCCUAGGGGUGCAGAAGCUCCUAAGGGUUGGUCUGUUCGACCAUUAAAAC